rnacentral:lncRNA from 1 species
CCAUCGCAGGCUCCAUAUGCCAGGCGGAGGGAAGGGAAACCGAGGUGCCAAGUAGGGGAGAUCUCGCGCCUGCUUAGUCAGGCAUGCCACCCAUUCAUGCCAGUUGCGUGGGAAGAGCGGCUGCGCGUUCAGGCUCUGUUUGUGGGCUCCCCACAGGCGCCUGACUGGCCACUGGGAGAACAGGACGAUGGGCCCUGGGGGCUCUUCUUACAUUUUAGCAGGUGUGCAGGAGAGGGGGGUCCAGCAGGUGCAGCUUGCCGCAUGACGCAGGUCAGAAAAAGAGGAUUUAGAGGUGGCGUGAAUAAAGACUUGGCAGCUGGACUGCCCUUCUUCUCACCCACCCUGGCAAGCCUCCCGCGCCUUUAAGGGCUGCUCGACGGGCAGCGCAUCAACAGGUGUGGCUCCCCAUCGCACACACAAUAGAGGGAGGCCUUACCAGUUGGAUCUCUGCCUGUUCCUCCUUUUGUCAGAGGCCCAGAAGCCUCAUCUUCUGCAACCACCUUUGGCCACUCCUGCCAGCAGGAACAGCCACAAGUCCAGAAAAGACAUUUGAGCAACCCUUCGCUUUGGGGGACAAUGGAGGGUGGAGGAGAUGCUCCGGUAUCUUCUACUUGGGCCGCCCACCCAGCCUAUAUCUGCACGGUCUACUAUCUGCUUUCCCGCUGCCCCUUCCCUAAAACAUGCUUAGAGCCAGGAUAAUGGAGCUCAGACUUUGCCAGCAUAUGGUGCCCUCCAGUCCAGCUGUUUUGAACAACAACUCCCAUCAGCCCCCAGCCACUUUCUUGAGCUCCCAUCCCCACCUGCUUUCAAAGUUCAAGCAAAUAUUCUGGUCCUGAGGUGUAGAUAUAUAUAUACACACACACACACACACACACACACACACACACACAGUAUAAGAAAGUCGAAGCAACACUCUUGUUCAGGGCCGGAUUUAGGUUUGAUGAGGCCCUCAGCUACUGAAGGUAAUGGGGCCCUUUAUAUGUUCAGCUGUCCUUUGUCAACAACAAAUUGUCACUGUUUUUUAUGUUGAAUUUAUGCUAUAUGGUAAUUUAUGGACCUAAUAGGUAUCUAAAGCCAUUUGCACAUAACAAAAUAUGUAUUUUAUCAAAGUGAUUGUUGAACUGAAAUACAAUUUUAGGGAGCAGGCUAGCAGGCGGGGCCCAUUACUUACAUCAUAGGAGCCUACACAACACAAAACACUGUUGCUGUAUGUAGGUUUAAUUUUAUUUAUUUUUUAUCUUAUAUUUUGGAAAUGUACAUCCAGUUUUUUUCUCCUUUAAAUUUUUUGGGGGGCCCCUUGGGGCCCUAAGCUAUAGCUUGUUCAGCUUACACGUAAAUCCGGUACUGCUCUUGUUGAUGACAAGGCAACCGUGGUCAGUCCCCCUCCAGCUGCAAAUCAAAACAUAACAACCUUAUAAAUCCAGCCGCAUCCAUAAUAUUUUUGAAGAGGCACUAAACGAGACGACUUCCUUUCUUUUUCCUUUUUCUUGUUCUUGCAAGCAUUACUGGGUGAGCAGAAUACGCUUAAUCAUUUUGUUCCUGCAAAGUAGUUUCGGGCUCUGGUUUCUGAUGCGUGGGGGCCUUGGCUGUGUGUUAUGGGGUGGACCUAAAAUUCGUCUUGGUUCACUCACUAGCAACCUUUCCAAGAGUUAAUUAUUAGGUGCCCUAGACAGUGAAACACACUCUCCUUCCCAGUGACUGAUUUCCCACUCUCUCUCUCUCUCUCUCUCUCUCUCUCUCUCUCUGUCGCUAAGGAAAUGAAGUCGGAUGCCUGGACGUGCCAACUUCUUCCACUGCAAGUCUGGGCCUAUCCCUUCAUCUGGACUGGACCUUGACGUCAGGUGGUGAAAUCCGCCUUCACCCCUCUUCUGGAGAUUCCCCAGCGUGUCUGAGCAUCGGAAGCAAAAUCUGGGACAGUGAAAGUGACUCAUCCUGGCUAGGAAGGCAGGUGGACUUAGCCCCAGGCGACAUUGUCUGAGGCCACUUACAAAAGCUCAAGCUCAUGUUGCCUGCCUCCUGCCUCUCCCCCCGCAAAAUGCUUUUUAAAAUAAAUGAACAGCAAGCAUGGUUGUUUUGACUUUCGUUGCUGCUGCUUCCAUUCGAA